GCCCUUCCUUUCUCGAGUGUUUUGAAAUGCAGACCACUGUUUUUGGAGAGGAAGAGGUAUGCAGGAACAAGGGAAAAGAGGACCCCUCCUUCCAGUUCCUGAGGUCCUAGUCAAUGAUGGUUGGUCCAAAAGGAAAAGGAGAGGGAGAAGUUCCCAGACACUGUAGAAGAGCCAUGGAGAGAGGCUGCCACUGGACCUGCAAGGACCUCAGUCAAGGGACACAGCCAGCCCAUGGCCAACCUACAGGGAGAGAGUUGGAGGGAUAAGUACCCGACCUCACCGUCCUUGCUCCAGCAUGGACUUCCUUAUUGACUGAGCCCAGCCAGAGUGGGAAGGUGACGGAGGACUUAGACAGCCCUGAACA